rnacentral:rRNA from 1 species
CAGCAGCAAGCACCACACAUGGCUCCACGCAGAUCAUCUUGGGUGUCGCCAGCCCAAGGGUGUAUUAAGAUCAAUGUAGACAGCGCAGUGUCUGUGAGGGGGAAGCAUGGUGCAGUGGGAGCAGUAUGUAGAGACCAACAUGGCGUUUUUCUUGGGGCCUCGGCGAUUGUCUUCAAGCACAUAACGAAUCCUCAAACGCUAGAAGCUCUAGCUAUAAGGGAAGCUCUCUCCCUAGCGGAUGAUCUAUAUGCCCGACGCAUUCAUGUUGCUUCAGAUUGUAAGGUAGUUGUUGAUGAUUUGCAUCAUGGCAAGUUUGCUGCUUAUGGCGCCGUUCUGCGUGAGAUUUCAGACCGUUCGUUAAUCUUCCUUCAUGUAAUAUAUGUCAUGAAUUUAGGAGCUCAAACUAUGAGACUCACAACCUAA